CGUGUCGCAGGGUCACGUGACUCCGCGCACAGACAGUUAUUUUUUUAGGCAUGAUGGCGCCAAACAGCAGUAUCCACAUUAAUGUAAAUACAAUAUCGAUUCGGUGCACCGCGCGAGGAAGAAAGCCAUCGGGUGUCCUUACGGAGGCUAUUUGAGGGCGUCGAGUGAGCUCGACAGGAGCCCUCGGGCCACGAAGUGAGUAAAACCGAGCUGGUCGCGGCUGCGACUCGAAUUGCUAAUGAGGACAUCUUGGUUAGGCUGCCGUGACAGAGGCGUACUCGGACUACUGCCAUCUCGGAGCUACCGAUCGAAGAAUAAUUCGAUCAUUCACGAUCAGACAUACCGGCUAUUAUUUGUCACGUGCAUCAUCGCGCGCGAAAUCACCCUCUCCGUCGAUAGAUCAAUAAUAAGGCAUUUACUGCCUUCCGACCAUUUCUAUCUUUUUCUGUCUCUUUCGUUCUUGCUCUCUCUUGCGCGCGCGUGCGUGUUCAUGUUUACGUGUGCGUGUCGAACUUGUGCUCGCGUGUUCGUAUCAACAUCGUGUGCGUAUAUAUUCACGUUCGUGCAUACCUGUGUUCUUACGUCGCGUGUGCGUAUUUACUUACAUUUCUGUGCAUGUGUAUUGAAAUUCGGCUGCGUGUGCGUUCAGAUGUGUAUACGUGUGUAUCGAGAUUCGUGUGCGAGUCGAGCCUGUCGCCAUCUGUAUUGUCAAUGUUGUCGGCCAGCAGGAGCACCACCAGCCCAAUGGACCCCUCCAAGAGGAAUCCGCUUUCUAGAUAAUAAAUACAUGGACGACUAUGUAGGUGUGCGCGGCUCACCUGCACGUGCCACGUACCGCUAGCUCACUUGGUAUAGUAGAAUGGCACAGCGAGGCAAACGGAUAAAUAGAAACGACAAUGAUUUGGCGUCUUGCCCAGGCGCAAUCAAAAGGCGCAAAUGUAGGCUGGUCCCAGCGUCGGGUUCGUCGUCGCUGGCAGCUACCAUGGGGCCCUCAGAAGAGGAGGAGACGAUGGCGUCGUCCAGUCAAGGAGGGGCAUCCUGGACCCCCAGACCACUCUGUGACAUUAAAAUCUCUAGUAUAUAUAAUCGCUCCUCUGCUGAGGCUCCUGCAGAAUUAUUUCGUAAGGAUUUGAUUAGCGCAAUGAAAUUACCUGACAGUGAGCCACUAAGUCCCAAUGAAUAUUGGGUUAUUACUGAUCAAUGGAAGCAAGAAUGGGAGAGAGGUGUUCAAGUACCUGUCAACCCAGACUCCCUUCCAGAACCAACAGUCACUAUCACACAAGCUACACCUAUAAAGCAGCACAGUGAAUUUAAAUUACCUAAAAAGUUCGUAAGGAUAUCUCGUGAUGAUUAUUUCAACCCUGAAGAUCAUCAUUUAAGCACAACUCCAGCACGAGCAGAAAAAGCUUGUGCCUAUGACCUUGAUGAUACUGAUAUUGCUUGGUUGGAUGUAUUAAACGGUGAACGUGCACAGGCUGGACAAUUGCCUAUUACGGAAUCACAAUUGGAACGUGUGAUAGAAGAACUGGAAGUUCGUUGUUGGGAAAGAAUACAAACUAUAGUCAAGAAUGAGGAAGGUCUUGGUAUUGAGUAUGAUGAAAAUGUGAUUUGCGAUGUUUGCAGAUCUCCUGAUUCUGAGGAAGGAAAUGAAAUGGUAUUUUGUGACUGCUGCAAUAUAUGUGUACAUCAAGCAUGUUAUGGAAUUACUUCAAUACCAGAUGGUUCAUGGCUAUGCAGAACUUGUUCUCUAAGUCAACGACCAGAUUGUGUUCUUUGUCCUAACAAAGGUGGUGCUAUGAAGUGUACUCGUAGUGGUCAAAAAUGGGCUCAUGUUUCUUGUGCUUUAUGGAUCCCAGAAGUCAGUAUUGGUUGUGUCGAAAGAAUGGAGCCUAUUACUAAAAUAUCCAGCAUUCCGCAAAGUCGAUGGGCCUUAAUAUGUGUAUUGUGUCGAGAGAGGGUCGGUGCUUGCAUCCAGUGCAGUAUAAAGACGUGUAAGACAGCGUAUCACGUAACGUGUGCCUUCAAAUAUGGCUUAGAAAUGAAGGCAAUCAUUGAAGAUGAAAUGGCAGAUGAUGGAGUAAAAUUAAGGUCUUACUGCCAGAAACAUAGUAGAACAAAUACGAAAGAUAAAGUUCAAGGUACUGGAAGCACUAUAGGAAGUGGAGCUGACAAAGCGGGAUCAGAUUCCGAAGAUGCGGAGUCUAGAAGACGUAAGAGAAAAGACAUGACUUCUGAAGAGAAAAAUCAAGCACGUGCUGCAAAACUACAGGAAAUUGAAGCAGAAUUUGACAAACACGUGAGUUUAAAGGAUAUCGCUUCGCAGCAGUUAGAUGUCGAUCCUGAUGGCAUUGUUUAUAUUUAUAAUUAUUGGAAGCUCAAAAGAAGGGCCGGUCAUAACAAACCGCUUUUGGCACCGCGUUGUGGAGAACUUUCGGGUAGUGGAUCGCGUAAUCAAGGACAAGCAGCAGAUCUUGAAAAGAUGAGGACAUUUGUGCAAUUGCGCCAAGAUCUGGAAAGAGUUCGAAACCUAUGUUACAUGGUUGGCAGAAGAGAAAAACUCUGUCGAACCUUCCUCAGAUUACGAGAGCAGACUUUCCACAAGCAAGCUUUACUAAUGUCUGGUCCACCUUUACCACCGUCAGCAGCCGCUGCUGUAAUGGAAGCAAAUCAUGGACCUUCGAUAUACGACCGAUUAUAUUCCCACCCUGACUCGGAGGAUCACACUCACGACUUUGACACGAUUAUUGCCAGAAUCGCUGGUAUAGACUCUCCGACUAGUGAAGAGAAGAAGACUCAGCAGCAGCAACAACAGCAGCAACAACAACAACAAGAUUUUAAUGGUGCCUCUAGUAAAAAGUUAUACUUCAAUGGCUCUGUCCGAAGAAAGACUCUUUAUGGCAGUGAUCUAUCAUCUGUCAGUAGUAGUGAAACGGAUGCGGCUAAGGUGAAGACAACCGAAAAAUCGAAAACUGAGUCGAGUACGGAAGAAGAAACUAACGUUUCGACGAAAACUAAACUAUCGCGAAGAAAAACGAAAAAGACUGUUCAAUCGGCUGAUAAAUUACAUUCGGCGCUUAGGGAUAACAGUGAAAAUGAAAAGCUUGUGAAUAGUAGAUCGCAUACGCUCGAACAUAUGGAGAAAGAAUUAGGAAGUGCUUCUGGUAGUGAAAGCGACGAACUGUUAAUGUUAAGCGGUGGCGCAACGAAGCAUUUUACCGCUUCCACUAUUUAUUCAGAUACUGACUCUGACUCCCAAGAACAUGCAUCUCAUUCUGCGGUUUUAAUCACAAAAGCAGCAGUGAAAGAGUUUUCCGCAGCAAAUUUGUCAAAAAAUUCACAAAAAAGUUUUGGCAAAGAUCCCAGACAUGUCGAAUCAACGUAUCAUAAUACAGGAUCGAAGAAUAAAGAGAAUCAAAAUAAAGCUGGCUCUAAAAAGAAAGAAUAUAUACCUUCCGCAUUAAUCGUUCCGCAGAGACAAGCUGCGAAGAAAGCUUCGGAAAUCAUGCAACGCACACAGCAAGGCAAAAAAGACAAUUCGGUGCCUGAAUCUACUCCAGAAGUAAUUAAGUCUCCUGUCGACGAAUUUCCGAAAUGUUCCUCGUCGAAGCAAUCAAAAGACAAAACCCCUAAUAAAAAACAGAGAGAAAACAAACAGUCGAAAGAAACUAAAAAUAACGAUGUAUAUGAUUUCGAUAAAGAAGAUGGAACGGAGAUUUUGGCGUAUGUGCCGCAAAGACAAGCUGCCAAGAAGGCCGCCGAACACAUCAAAAGUGGCAUGGGUACUAAGACUACGCAGCAAAUCGAACAGGAGACGCUUGACGGAAGAUCGAAAAAGGAAUCUCCAGAAGCAGGAAAAAGGAAGGAAAUUAAAAAGGACGAUUCUUCCAGAAAAGAAGAACUUCCUUCACGAAAAGAAGAAAUAUCCUCAUCAUCUUCAUCGUCGUCAUCUUCCUCAUCCUCUUCGUCAUCUUCAUCCUCUUCUUCAUCUUCUUCUUCCUCAUCCUCUAGAAAAGAGGAAGUUUCAUCCAGAAAGGACGAAUUGAUUUCUAAGAAAGAAGAAUCGUCCUCCAGGAAAGAGGAAAUCAUCUCGAAGGAGAGUCGCCCGAGAAGACCUAGAAAACCGAGCGACCAAAAGUCGUCGGUGCUUUCAAGCAACAGCGAUAGCAGCAGUAGUAGUAAUAGUUGUAGUAGUUCCUCAGAAAGUAGCAGUGAUUCCGAAAAUCCAGAACGUAGGAAAUUCUCAGAUGAAGUGGUGGACGGUUCUUCUUGUUCUACUUCCUCUGAAAGUGAUACUGGUAACAAAACGAAAAGUAAACCGGUUACAAUUUCAAGCACAGCAAAUAGAAGGCAACAGUCUAAUAAAACGUCACCAGAACGACAGGAUGCUGAAAGAAAACAAAUUUCAGGGCGGAAACUCAAGAAGCUGCCCGAGAAGAAGCUUAAAACUUCCGACGGGCGGCGGGGACCUGAGUUUCAGCCGCCUACUGAGAGAGAGGAAUCUCGUAGAACCCCUAAAGAACAACAACAGCCACAGACACAACAACAAGAAGCAACUGUCAAGAAGCAGGAUCAAAGAGACAACAAACAAAAGCAACCAGCAACAGCGGGAGCCACAACAACAGGAACAGAGACUAAUGAGGAUCUGCUCAUUGGGUCUGGAGAUCAUGAUGGGGCAAGAAGUGUUCCUGGGUCCAGACCUCCCAAAAAGUCGGGUCAAGCUAGUAAGCAGCAGUCCUUGUCAAGGAAAGAAGAUAAGAAGACCAAGUCCGAAGGCAGAAAGCGAAAAUCGAACGAGUCUGUCGCAAAGGAUGAAAAGAGUGGGAAAGAAACGAUCAAGAAACCGGAGAAACGGUUAACUGACAAGCAACCUGUCAAGAUAGUAGAAAAUAAAAACGAAGAGGAGAGUAGAAAAGACGAACCAAAGAUUGUUGAUCAAGGAAAAACUAACGAAUGCAUGGACAAUUCUUCAAAGAACGAAGAGAAGAAAAUUAAAAAGAUUGGAGGCAAGGACGCAAUCAAUAUUUUGGAAGAAGAAAUGAAACAGCGUAGGGCGGAAAGGGAUAGUCCGAAAAAAUCAUUGAGGGGAUUAGAUAAAUUGUUGGAGAAACGUGAACAUCACGACAAAAUGUCUAAGAGUAAAAAUUCGGAGGUGAAAGUUGAGAAAGUUGCUUGUGACGAGGAAAAGGAAGAGAAGGGAUCCGUGGAAGAAAGUCUACAAAUGAAAGAAGCUGUGAAAAACGAAGAUCGUAAAAACCAUAUUAACGAGAGCGAUAUUAUUAUUGAGAAACCAAAAUCGGAAGAACAAGAGGAGGAAGAGAUAAUAAAGAAGGAUAUUUCCGAGGUACCAGAAAUUGAGAAAGUUAUAGCUGGAAAGAAGAAAACGGAUCGGAAUCAAACGAAGAACCUGGAGGAAAUUGUCGAACAACGAAGUGUUGAACCACCGCAAAAUAUCGAACCUCAGCCCGUUCCCGUGGAAGACAAUGUGCAGAAAGAAAGCAGCAAAGAUGACAACGUCAAAUCUGUUUUGGAAAGAGUUGAAAAUUCUGAAAAAGAACAUCAAAAACGACGAAAAUCUGCAAAUAGAUCAAUUUUCUCGCCACAACAUGGUAAAGAUGCGAGUGUUUCGGAAUUGUUUGAUUUUGACCAGGAUAUGUUAACAGAAGAAAUAGUGAACGAAGAUGGAUUUGGUAUAUCAAGAGAUGCGGAAGAACGGGGUGUACCAUUAAGUUUCUCGUUCAAUAAUGAGUUGUGGUUCAAGGAAGAUUCGAAAGAAGAUAGCGCGAGGGAAACAUUGCAUCUUGUUGAGAAAUUGCGUAUGGAACUCUCGAAGAAAUCAAAUUCUAGUCAGUUCGAAUUAGAGGCAGUACCUGUGGAUGGCGAAAUCAAAAAGGAGGAACCACCAAUAGAAAAAACGUACGAGCAACAACAACAACCACCGCAGCAACUACAAUCGCAACAACCACAACAAUCCCCGCAACUUCAGCAGCAGCAACAGCAACUUGCUCAAACUCAAGCAGAAAAAGAGACAAAGAUCCUCGAGCCUAUUGCAGAACCAGUCCUAAACGUAAAAAAUGUUGAAAUUUCCGAAGAAGAGGUAGCUAUUAAUGAAACCCGUCCUAGCACUUAUAAUAAGAGUACGGUAGAGGAAAAGAGAAAAACAUGCUACUCGAGCGGUAACGAUAGGUAUGCGGCCUAUGAAGAGGAUCGUGAGGCGAACAAAGUAAGCUUAGUGGAACGAUCAAAACUCGAUCGAGCGGAGACUGACGAGAGAUGGGUUCCACCAAGCAUCAAUAGUUUUGAACUGAGUGAUGUGCAACAUUUGAAUGCUUUGAUGGAGACGCAGAAUCGUCGAUACAGCAAUCAUUUUUCUAAUGAAACUAUUUCAGAGAACGAUUCUAUCGCGCGUACUCAUUUGACCGCACCGAGUAUCCAGGAACAAUAUCUUUUGCAGCAAUCACAUUCGAUUCUACAUAGUCAGCAAGAGCCACACGAAAGGACGAUACUCGAUCAACAGAUACCUGAAGAAAGUCCUAUGGAAAUAAUGAGCAGACAUUUGAUCAGUUUGCCAGCAUCAGAAGAGGAUCAGGCUGCUGAAAUGAUGGACAGGGUGCUCGAUAAAGAGGACGACGUUGUCAGACAGCAGGAGUACGAUCAAAAUUCACCGUACAAUGAUAUAAACGGUCGUCCAGACACCAGGUGGGCGGAAAGUCAAGUUUUGCCUUCCCGAAGAUCUACAUCUUCUUCGAUUACUUCCGCCUCUUCCGCGGAGGAUCAUUCCAUUCCACCUUACAAGAACGUACCGAGCAUUCCGUUUCCACCAUGUUCCAUGGAAACAACAUACUACGCGGAUUCGAGUUACGGUACCGGUCCAGUCAGCCUAUUUCCGCCACAGUCCUGUGCAGCACCUUUACCUUACCCUUCUCCUGGACCAGCUCUUUUUCCGCCAGCAUUUGGAGCUGCGUUUCCAGGAGCUCAAUCGUUAUUGCCACACGUGAAACCGCUAGAAGAUUCGCUUAAUCUACAAGCUUCGCCAUGUACCGCAGCAUUCACGUCUUCCUCGCACAACAUGGCGCUUACCGCAGCCAUGGUCUCGCCUACUAAGAUAGUCACACCACCUCCACCACCACCGCCACCACCUCCACAAGUCACCGUUCCACCUGCAGAACCUAUAGAGAGGACGCAACAACAAUUACAAACGCAAGUAACCGCUUCACCUUCGUUGCCAAUAAACUUCUUAAACACCGUAGCACCAGAGAGUCAUGCCAGCGACACCGUUGUCGAGAGCCUUCAAGAAGCUCUAACGGACAGCAAGAGCCAACAUUCUGGGAAAAAGUCACCUUCCAAACCUACCAGGACAUCUGCUCGUGUAACGUCUUUGCAAGGGAAGUCUCCGGGAAAAUCUCCAAGACAGGAAACGCAGAAAAACGUUCCUGGAGCGCGAGGUCGUGGCAGAGGUGCCAAAAAUUCGGCGCAACACUCCGGUUAUAGGGGGCGUGGACGCGGAAGAGGCAGAGGUCGAGGUAGAAGCGGACAAAAUUCAGGACUCUCUCUGGUCUCCGGCGCGGGUAUCGGCCAACACGAUGACUCCAUUCAGAACAAACUAGUCGGCACAGUUUACGACUUCGAUUCCGACGAAGAUUCAACUAGUGAGGCGAAUAUUGCCGAUUUACGCACUAUGAGAGAGCGAAAGAAGUCGACUGAUGCCGCGACGGCUGGAGUCGAAAGGAGAGAUUCCACGGUUAUGGCUUCCGGAGAAAGCGUUCAGUCAAGACUCUCCAGCCCUGGAGGUAGCAGGAAGUAUCUGGAAGACAGACGACUCUCUUGCUCUCCAAGUCAUGAUGAUUCUGUUGUCGUGGAAAGUCAGUCAAACGCUGGACAGAGCUUCGAUACCGUCCUACCACUUAUUCCAGGCCCUGUCGAUAUGAGAACAUACAAUUCCACUCUUGAUGCUUCAAGUUCUUCUACCUUGCAUGGUCAGACGUACGAGAAUCAUUUCCUGGGUACGUUUACGAGCGUUUCAGCUAAUGAUCCUGCCCUCCCGGAUAUCGAAGAAGACCUCGAGAAAGAAUUCGGACCCGCGCUGAUCAAGCAAGGUCAAGAAGACUGUUCAAAGCCGAAUUUUGAUGCGAGUAUCGAUGCCUCAUCUUCUGGCUUUGUUGACGCCAAUAAAGUCUCCUUGACGGAUUCGAGAAACCAGCUGAAGGUUAAGAUCAAAGGUCCUUUCCUGGAUGCUAAUUACGUUGCUACCUCGUCGGUACCACCGCUUGCACAGCAGGCACCCGUGAUAAUCACACCAGCCGCUACCAGUGCUUCCAUCGCUUCCGGAACCUCAAACCUUAGACGAAUGCGAAAGAAGGAAUUGCUCCGGCAGUACUGUUCUCAGGAUAUGAAUAUGGACGAGCCAGGUUGUGGAAACCUGGCUACGUCAGCACCAAUCAUCAUGCCACAGAUCAAUCGCACAGUGAUAACAAUACCGAAAGCGGUUGCCUCGAUGACCAGUAUACCCACGAGGGAAGACUACAAGGCAGUCGUCGAUGCGAACAUGGAGAAGAAACGAAGAAAAGAAAGAUCUGCCGGAUUCUUGGAUACUAACGAGGAAGAGGGAAGUGUCGAGAGAAGGCGGGGCAGCGCUACUAACGGUGCUAGUUCCAGUGGUAACGCUCCAGUCGGAAACACGGAUCGUAGGAGAGGCAGGCAGAGUAGUGGCGGUAGAUCGACGACUACGACCACCACGACCACUACUACGAACAGUGGUCCGCCGAAGUUGAAGAUCAAGAUCGGUAACAGCAUAAUUGGUGGCCAAGAAAGUGGCCAGGAUGACAGAACGAGGAUCAGACCGCCGAAAAAGCGGUUGUGCAGUAUUCCUAGUAGUACACCGAGCAUCGAGGAGUUAAAGAGAGAGAGUAUGAAAUUCAGGCGUAUGAUCAUGGCCGGUUUCGAUAACGAUGAGAAAUUAAGAGGGAAAAGUAAAAAGGAUAGAAAUAGUAAACGAAAGAAACGACAGUCGAGUAGAAAGGAAGCUAGGGUACGUAUCCUCGAGGGUGGAACCGCUCCUCCGAAAUUAAUAAUAAGACUCGGCAAAGGUAAUGAUUCUCCAGACGAAUUACCGAUUUUGCUCACGGAUGAGGAAGAAGAGGACGAAGAGGAACGACAUCCGACUGAUAGUAGAGUAGGUCCCCCACCUCCGGAACCGGUCAAAGACGAGCCUGUUUACCCAUCGGUAGCUGCUAACAUCGAAGAGAAACAACCUACCGACCCAGAUACUGGUGGUAGUGCACCCAGAAACGUUCGUUCGGCGAAAGUCACUCCGAUUAGGUUAAAAUUGACACGUUGUCAAGAGGGCUACGAGUUGAAGGGCCCACCAGUCCACGGUGAGGAGUCCAGUUUAACGAGGGAGAAACCGGGAAGUCUUGAAGUUUCGAACGAGACAAGAAAUCCACCGAUCAAGGGCCAAGACGAGGAGGAAUCUUCCAGAGAGGAGGAAGAAGAAGAAGAGGAGGAGAACAAUAGUUCCGUGCAGAGGGACUCCUCCACGUGUCCUGCCGCGACAAGUAUACCGCAGGGAUGCCAAGUUAGGUGAUAAUUAAUGAUACUCGUGGAGUAAUGAAGCAGAGGACAAGAACACAUACACACGGUGCUUGUAUGAUUUUUACGAUCGAUAAAGAAAACGGACUCGAUACACGCUUGCGGUGAAAGCAUGUUGCCGUAAUAAGCGUAUCGUUGGCUUAGUGGAAAGAUCUAAGAAAGAGACAGACAACACUGAUGUCGUCGUAGGCUUCAAAACUUCAAGUUUUUGGUAUUUGCUUUAAAUCAGGUCAAAUAUUUUACUAAUAUUAUUAAAUUGAAUAAUACUACUUCGAUAAAUAGAUCGAUAUUAAUAAUCAAAUCGUUAGUGAUCAAAUAUUUUUUGUUUUGCAGAUAGAUCCGUUUAGGUUCAAGAUUUUCAAUAGGAGUUGUACAUAUAAUUGAUAAAGUACGGAGUAUGAAUUUUAUCAACUGUUUUCACUAAGCCUAUGAUACGAUAGUUCUUGAUACAACAUUUUUUACAAAAUUGUAUGUAAGAAUUACUUGCAUUAGUCUGUUGAUGAUAUUUAUAGACCAUGUUUUUUAUUUUAUUAUUAUUAUAUUUUAUUAUUAUUAAUAUUAAUAUUAUUAUUAUUAAUCAUUAUCAUUAUCUUAUGUAUAUACGAUGAUUAUUCUUUGUUCA